rnacentral:rRNA from 1 species
UACGGAGGGUGCGAGCGUUGUCCGGAAUCACUGGGCGUAAAGGGCGCGUAGGUGGCGCGGGCAGUCAACGGUGAAAGUUCGGGGCUCAACCCUGAAUCGGCCGUCGAUACUCCCGUGCUUGAGCACUGUAGAGGCAGAUGGAAUUCCGGGUGUAGCGGUGGAAUGCGUAGAGAUCCGGAAGAACACCGGUGGCGAAAGCGGUCUGCUGGGCAGUAGCUGACACUGAGCGCGACAGCGUGGGGAGCAACAGG